GAGCUGCCACGAACAGUGGUACGAUCCUGACGUAAGCUCGAGAGGAAGCACUGGCUAACUCUGUGCCAGCAGCCGCGGUAAUACAGAGAGUGCAAACGUUGUUCGGAAUCACUGGGCUUAAAGAGCACGUAGGCGGCGCUACAAGUGUCGGGUGAAAUCCCACGGCUCACCCGUGGAACUGCCCGGCAGACUGUGGUGCUCGAGUGUGGUAGGGGAGAGCGGAACUCCAGGUGGAGCGGUGAAAUGCGUAGAUAUCUGGAGGAACACCGGUGGCGAAGGCGGCUCUCUGGUCCACAACUGACGCUGAGGUGCGAAAGCUAGGGGAGCAAACGGGAUUAGAUACCCCGGUAGUCCUAGCUGUAAACGAUGGACACUAGCUUGGGGUCUCCCUGUGUGAUCCCAGGUGAAGCAAAAGUGAUAAGUGUCCCGCCUGGGGAGUAUGGUCGCAAGGCUGAAACUCAAAGGAAUUGACGGGG
rnacentral:rRNA from 1 species